rnacentral:rRNA from 1 species
UACGGGGGGGGCAAGCGUUGUUCGGAAUUACUGGGCGUAAAGGGCUCGUAGGCGGCCAACAGUCGGACGUGAAAUCCCUCGGGCUUAACCGGGGAACUGCUUCCCGAUACUGGAUGGCUAGAGUGUGGGAGAGGGAUGCGGAAUUCAGGUGUAGCGGUGAAAUGCGUAGAUAUCUGGAGGAACACCGGUGGCGAAGGCGG